rnacentral:rRNA from 1 species
AGCGAACGCUGGCGGCAGGCCUAACACAUGCAAGUCGAACGAACUCUUCGGGGUUAGUGGCGGACGGGUGAGUAACACGUGGGAACGUGCCUUUAGGUUCGGAAUAACUCAGGGAAACUUGUGCUAAUACCGAAUGUGCCCUUCGGGGGAAAGAUUUAUCGCCUUUAGAGCGGCCCGCGUCUGAUUAGCUAGUUGGUGAGGUAAAGGCUCACCAAGGCGACGAUCAGUAGCUGGUCUGAGAGGAUGAUCAGCCACAUUGGGACUGAGACACGGCCCAAACUCCUACGGGAGGCAGCAGUGGGGAAUCUUGCGCAAUGGGCGAAAGCCUGACGCAGCCAUGCCGCGUGAAUGAUGAAGGUCUUAGGAUUGUAAAAUUCUUUCACCGGGGACGAUAAUGACGGUACCCGGAGAAGAAGCCCCGGCUAACUUCGUG